UCAUGUUCUGAUGCCUUGAUGUAUUUUUUUGGUUUUUUUUUUUGGAUUUUAUCUCAGCUUGUAUAAAGUUGUGUUUGUUCCUGGAUCUGUAACACUUAACAAUCUGCUUUGACAUUCUGUGUGACAUUCUAUUUGACUAAUAGACAUUUAUUUUGUCUCUUUGAUCUCUUUUGGCCAAAAAGGGGGAGAAGUAGCUAAAGUAGCUAUGCUAUAUA
rnacentral:lncRNA from 1 species